rnacentral:rRNA from 1 species
CAGUCGCCGCGGUAAUACGAAGGGGGCUAGCGUUGCUCGGAAUGACUGGGCGUAAAGGGCGCGUAGGCGGAUGGCACAGUCAGAUGUGAAAUUCCCGGGCUUAACCUGGGGGCUGCAUUUGAUACGUGUUGUCUAGAGUGAGGAAGAGGGUCGUGGAAUUCCCAGUGUAGAGGUGAAAUUCGUAGAUAUUGGGAAGAACACCGGUGGCGAAGGCGGCGACCUGGUCCUUGACUGACGCUGAGGCGCGAAAGCGUGGGGAGCAAACAGGAUUAGAUACCCCCGUAGUCCCUGUCUCUUAUAC